GCGGAACNGGAAUANCNUGCUACUUUCGCUGACGAGCGGCGGACGGGUGAGUAAUGCCUAGGAAAUUGCCCUGAUGUGGGGGAUAACCAUUGGAAACGAUGGCUAAUACCGCAUAAUGCCUUCGGGCCAAAGAGGGGGACCUUCGGGCCUCUCGCGUCAGGAUAUGCCUAGGUGGGAUUAGCUAGUUGGUGAGGUAAUGGCUCACCAAGGCGACGAUCCCUAGCUGGUCUGAGAGGAUGAUCAGCCACACUGGAACUGAGACACGGUCCAGACUCCUACGGGAGGCAGCAGUGGGGAAUAUUGCACAAUGGGCGCAAGCCUGAUGCAGCCAUGCCGCGUGUAUGAAGAAGGCCUUCGGGUUGUAAAGUACUUUCAGUCGUGAGGAAGGUGGUGUUGUUAAUAGCAACAUCAUUUGACGUUAGCGACAGAAGAAGCACCGGCUAACUCCGUGCCA
rnacentral:rRNA from 1 species